rnacentral:rRNA from 1 species
AAUGAACGCUGGCGGCAGGCCUAAAACAUGCAAGUCGAACGCCCUAGCAAUAGGGAGUGGCGCACGGGUGAGUAACAUGUGGGAAUAUGCUUUUUGGUACGGAACAACGUUUGGAAACGAACGCUAAUACCGUAUGGUCCCUCCGGGGUAAAGAUUUAUCGCCAAAAGAUUAGCCCGCACUAGAUUAGCUAGUUGGUAAGGUAAUGGCUUACCAAGGCGACGAUCUAUAGCUGUUCUGAGAGGAAGAUCAGCCACACUGGGACUGAGACACGGCCCAGACUCCUACGGGCGGCAGCAGUUAGGAAUAUUGGACAAUGGGCGCAAGCCUGAUCCAGCCAUGCCGCGUGAGUGAUGAAGGCCUUCGGGUUGUAAAGCUCUUUAGCCGACGAAUAUAAUGACUGUAGUCGGAGAAUAAGCCCCGGCUAACUUCGUGCCAGCAGCCGCGGUAAAAC